UUGACCUCAAAUCAGGUAGGACUACCCGCUGAACUUAAGCAUAUCAAUAAGCGGAGGAAAAGAAACUAACAAGGAUUCCCCUAGUAACUGCGAGUGAAGCGGGAAAAGCUCAAAUUUUGAAUCUGGCAGUCUUUGCA
rnacentral:rRNA from 1 species